CAGGGUUUCACCAUGUUGGCCAGGCUGGUCUUGAACUCCUGACCUCAGGUGAUCCACCUGGCUUGGCCUCCCAAAGUGCUGGGAUUACAGGCUUGAGCGACCGCACCUGGCCCAAACUGAGUAUUUUUUAGAGGAUUCUUUUUACCUGGUGAAUAGAUGGGUAUGUGCUCCCCCACUUCAUCCACGUACACAUAUGAGCUGUACACAUAGAUGUUAAUCAGGUUGCUUUUUUCAUUUUAUUUAAAUAUUCAAAAUAUUGUGUGAUUGUGAUCCAUUGAGAUCAUUGAAGUAGUAUUAAUUUAGCUGGGAAUUAGCAGCUUAUGUUGUGUGGGCCCAGUUCAUCAAUAUGUGUGUCAAAUAUCCACCCUCAGAUAUCAGCAGCCUUUGACUUGCAGUCAGAGCUUUCAAUAGGGGUUUUGUUUUGUUUUGUUUUCUUUUUUUUUAGUCUCAUAUUUUAUGAUGGGGGGAAAUAUUCAUGGAAGAUUACUGAAUGUGAAACUGCUGUUCCCUUAUAGAAAAGACCCAAACAUUAUCCCAUCAUGUCAGAUUUGAGGUUUUGGCUUAUUGCACAUAGGAAUCUUUAAAUUAGGUUUGGGCUGUCAUAAAGUUAGCUUUUUGAGAGACUAGAGAAAAAAUAUGACAAGUCCUAUAAAAUGUAGUAAAGUCUGCUCCUGUUGAUAUAUAACAUUUUUUCUCUUUAAAAUCAUGAACAUAGACAUUUAUAUCAGGGUAUUUAAAAUUAUUUGCCUAGACAGUAUAGCUGGUAUUUAGAUAAUGAUAUAUCAGACAGAUACUCUAAAGAAGGGAGAUAUAGUAAUUCAAAAUGGAAAUACAUUAGC
rnacentral:lncRNA from 1 species